rnacentral:misc_RNA from 1 species
GCUCGCUGCCUGGCGUCUAGUAUAUAAUUUGAAAGUUGGAACGAGCAAACCCUGUUAUUGUUCUCGCGCUAGCCGAGAGCAAAAGCAGCUGCACAAAUACCAAACACCGAUACCAACCGUUACAGUUUCAGACGGAGAGAGAGAAGGGGGGUAGCAAAUUAUGACCGCGCCUCCUCCGAUUCUCAAAAAGCCAAAAAUAGAACAAAACAACGACGGCGACGGCGACCACCAGCUAGUAGCAAAACCGAAAUCGAUGACCGAAGAAGAGAACGAAGGAGGAGGAGAAGAAGAAGAAGGGGAGGAAGGUACCAGUAUAGAAGAGCAAGAGGAAGCUUUGGUUGCUCUGGUCGACCACCGCACCCGUGAAGUUGAACAUCUUAAGAGACGUAUCGCCUAUUAUAAUUCUCAGCUCCAGGGAGCAGAGAAGAGAUUGCAUGAAACAGAAGCUCGAUUGGCUCGCUUACGAGGGCAAAGCAAUGCAAUAUCAUCUAAAGCUUCUCUGGGAAAUGGGACUAAAAGUGCAAAGAUGGAGUGUAGAUCAACCAGCCCUAUCCAUGCCAUUCAAAGUGCUUCUAGGAGCCAACCUCAAUCCAGAAAUGAAGGCCUGUUUCCUGCUGCAAAUCCAAGUACUUCCCAAUCUAUAAAAUUGGCAGGAUCCAGUGCAAAAGUGUUUGUUCGUUCUGGUUCUCAAUCACUUCCUUCCACCCCCACUGAUACUCUUCCAAAAUUAAAAGCAGAAAAAUCUUACAUGAGUUCUCUGGAUGAAGAAGUUGUUGAAAUUCAGGAUAGGGGAACAAAAAGGAAGCUUGAACAGAAAGAACACAAGGAGUUGAUUCCAUUGAUACGCAGUGGCUCUUCUCCAUGCACAAUCCACUGCCAUACAAGCAAUCUCAUCUCUAGUCAGCAUAAGAGAAAGUUGAGAAGUCUUGUUUUCUGUCCAGUAAAUGAUCAGCUUUUUGUGACCAGGUGAUUUACUAUUUGACCAGUGUAAUCAGUGAGAGAGAAACAGAUAAUGUAAAUUAUAUGGAAGAAGAUGCUUAGGCACUUGUAGUUUAUGGAGAAAUUAAGCACAGUGCUUUGGAUGGAGUGGUCAACUUAUGGCAAGUUCAAUCUCGAGGAUCAGGUGCCUCUCUUCUUAGUUCUACUGAUUGUAUGUCUCCAAAGCAUAGGCGGUGGCCAGAAGAUAUAGCUUGGCACCCACUGGGGAACAGCAUAUUUUGUACUUACAGUGCUGAUGGAGGGGAUUCUCAGAUAUUAAUCCUUAAUUUGAAUAAAACACAAGCAGUAUGGAUCUCUGUUAAAGUUUACUUUCUGAAUAAAUAUGCUAGUUCCAUUUAUAGUUAUCUGCCUAAAUUAUUGCACUUCUUGUAUUGUGGUGGAGUUGGCAUAUACUGAAAACAUGCAGUUACAAGUAUUUGAGCAUCCCACAUCCUUCUUAAACUUAAAUGUUCAUUUACAUAAAAUGGACUCUUUCUAUGAAUUUGCUUUGGCAGAGGGCCCGUGUAACUUACUUAGAUGAUAAGCCUCAUGUCAAGGGCAUCAUUAACAGCAUAAUAUUCAUGCCCUGGAAAAGUGCCUGUUUUGCCACUGGUGGCAGUGAUCAUGCUGUUAUACUUUGGAAUGAGAAAGAUACUGAGAAUUUAUGGAAGCCAAAGCAAUUGCACAGGAAUCUGCAUUCUUCAGCUGUCAUGGGAGUUGCUGGGUUGCAGCAAAAGCAUAUUGUUCUGUCUGCUGGUGCAGACAAGAGAAUUAUAGGGUUUAAUGUUCAAGUAGGGAGAGCAGACUUCAAGCAUCAACUAGAUAAUAAAUGUAUGAGUGUUCUGCCUAAUCCAUGCGAUUUCAAUCUAUUCAUGGUUCAGACAGGGACUCCUGAGAAGCAGCUGAGAUUGUUUGAUAUUAGACUUAGGCAGACAGAGCUUCACUCUUUUGGGUUUAAACAAGAAAGCAGUGACUCUCAGUCAGCUUUGAUCAAUCAGGCUUGGUCUCCUGAUGGUUUGUACCUGACAUCUGGUUCAGUAGAUCCUAUGAUCCACAUCUUUGAUAUAAGGUACAAUUCUCACAAGCCAUCCCAAUCUGUGAGAGCUCAUCAGAAACGGGUUUUUAAAGCAGUCUGGCAUUACUCUCACCCACUUCUGAUAUCUAUAUCUUCUGAUCUGCACAUCGGGUUGCACAAGAUUGCAUAAUACUUCUGUCUGCAUUUUGGGACCCUAGGGCAAUUUCUUGUAUUGCUCAUUUUGCACUUUUGAGUCUCCUUGUUUUGAUUUGUGAGGUGAAAGGUCUAAAAGAUUAUUGGUUUAAGAAUGGAUUAUCAGAAAAAAAUGAUUGGGUUGACACCACAAAUUUUGCGGAUGUAUGAAAAAGAAACAGAAUUUUUGGAGAACUUGUUGCAAAAAAGAUGGAUGUUAGCUGUGGUCCUUGAUUUAUGUUAUAUGGGUUGCCAUUUUUGAUCUGAAAAAACACAGAACACCAGCAGUUGAAACAUGGUUUAUUAUAGCAUCCAAUGUUUUGUAUUUGUUGUUUUGGAGAAAAUAUAAUCUCGAGUUGAUUCAAUGUGUUCUGCGCGUGGUGGCAUUCUAAUUGAUAUUGUAUUAUUUAUUUUAAUUCAAUGAAGCUUGUUAUUCUC